CGGACGGGCGCGUAACGCGUAUGCAACCUGCCUGACACAGGGGGAUAAUCCGAAGAAAUUUGGUCUAAUACCCCAUAAUACCGAUAUAGGCAUCUAUGUUGGUUGAAAGCUUUGGUGGUGUCAGAUGGGCAUGCGUUGUAUUAGCUAGUUGGUGAGGUAACGGCUCACCAAGGCGACGAUACAUAGGGGGACUGAGAGGUUAACCCCCCACACUGGUACUGAGACACGGACCAGACUCCUACGGGAGGCAGCAUG
rnacentral:rRNA from 1 species